GACGAACGCUGGCGGCGUGCUUGACACAUGCAAGUCGAACGGAAAGGCCCCCUUGUGGGGUACUCGAGUGGCGAACGGGUGAGUAACACGUGAGUAACCUACCCUUGACUUUGGGAUAACUUCAGGAAACUGGGGCUAAUACCGGAUAGGAGCUCCUGCUGCAUGGUGGGGGUUGGAAAGUUUCGGCGGUUGGGGAUGGGCUCGCGGCUUAUCAGCUUGUUGGUGGGGUAGUGGCUCACCAAGGCUUUGACGGGUAGCCGGCCUGAGAGGGUGACCGGCCACAUUGGGACUGAGAUACGGCCCAGACUCCUACGGGAGGCAGCAGUGGGGAAUAUUGCACAAUGGGCGGAAGCCUGAUGCAGCAACGCCGCGUGCGGGAUGACGGCCUUCGGGUUGUAAACCGCUUUCGCCUGUGACGAAGCGUGAGUGACGGUAAUGGGUAAAGAAGCACCGGCUAACUACGUG
rnacentral:rRNA from 1 species